rnacentral:rRNA from 1 species
GAAGCACCGGCUAACUCUGUGCCAGCAGCCGCGGUAAUACAGAGGGUGCAAGCGUUAUUCGGAAUUACUGGGCGUAAAGCGCGCGUAGGCGGAUUAUUAAGUCAGUUGUGAAAGCCCUGGGCUCAACCUGGGAACUGCAUCUGAUACUGGUAGUCUAGAGUUUAGUAGAGGGAAGGGGAAUUCCAGGUGUAGCUGUGAAAUGCGUAGAUAUCUGGAGGAACAUCAGUGGCGAAGGCGCCUUCCUGGACUAAAACUGACGCUGAGGUGCGAAAGCGUGGGUAGCAAACGGGAUUAGAUACCCCGGUAGUCCACGCCGUAAACGAUGUCAACUAGCUGUUGGCCUUAUUAA